GGCUGGGUGUCCCAGUUGUUCAGGGUGUGGUAAGCGGCCUUCAGCCAUCAGCUGCAACUCGCCAGGGUCACACCCUUCCCUGGGACAGCCCACAUUGCAAAGUCCUGGACAUCCUGGUCCAACCGAGGACAGCCCUGAGGACCACUUCUGUGGCAGAGCUCCCUGUGGGGGACCAGUAGCCGCUGUGCUUGAUGGCAUCACAGCCCCACUCCUGCCUCUUGUGUCUUCCCCUCCACAGGUCCAACAUCACUCCGUGAAAGUCUGCUCCCCACCUAGGAGCCCCCUCGAGCCACAGCAGCCUUGCCAGCUGGAGAAGGACCCGAGACGUGCAGAUGGGAGUUGUGGCAGUAGUGGCCAUCUUGAGGGACAGACACCGGGAGAAAACGAGUGAUGCGUGCAAGGAGGGGCAUCGCUGAGCCCACACAAGACUCAAGAUGGAUGAGACAGAGGCGGCCUCAGGUGCCUGCAGGUGGAGAGAGAAGGUAGGGGUGGCCUGGAGGCAGGUCUCUUCUGAGUAUCACAAAGCACAUCCAAAAGUAAAUGAUGCCGGGUGUGGUGGCUCUCGCCUGUAAUCCCAGCACUUUGGGAGGCUGAGGUGGGUGGAUCAGCUGGACCAACAUGAUGAAACCUCGUCUCUACUAAAAAUACAAAAAUUAGCUGGGUGUGGUGGCACGCGCCUGUAAUCCCAGCUACUUGGGAGG
rnacentral:lncRNA from 1 species